GGGGUCUUAGCUCAGUUGGUAGAGCGCUUCGUUCGCAUCGAAGAGGUCAGGGGUUCAAAUCCCCUAGGCUCCA
rfam:Sinomonas atrocyanea strain KCTC 3377, complete genome.